rnacentral:rRNA from 1 species
GACGAACGCUGGCGGCGUGCUUAACACAUGCAAGUCGAACGGAAAGGCCCUGCUUUCAUGGUGUUCUAGUGGCGCACGCGUGAGUAUCACAUGUGUGUUCUGCGCUGCUCUUCUUGAUAUAACUUCAAGACUCUGUCUCUUACCCCGUAUAAGACCUCCUUCUUCUUGUGGGUGGUAAGUUUUUUUGGUCUGGUAUGAGCUCGCGGCCUAUCUGCUUGCUGGUGGGGUAAUGGGCUACCAAGGCGGCGACGGGUAGCCGGCCUGGGAGGGUGGACGGCCACAAUGGGAAUGAGGUAAGGCCCAGACUCCUACGGGGGGGAGGAGGGGGGAAUAUUGGAAAAUGGGCGCGAGCCUGAUGGAGCGACGCCGGGGGGGGGAAGACGGGCUUCGGGUUGGAAACUCGUUUCGCUAGGGACGGAGGUGUUUGUGACGGUAACUAGAUAAGAAGCACCGGCUAACUACGUG